CAUGCAGUCGAACGGUAGAGGGGGCAACCCCUUGAGAAGUGGCGAACGGGUGAGUAAUGUAUCGGAACGUGCCCAGUCGUGGGGGAUAACGUAGUGAAAAUUACGCUAAUACCGCAUACGAUCUAUGGAUGAAAGCGGGGGAUCGCAAGACCUCGCGCGAUUGGAGCGGCCGAUAUCAGAUUAGGUAGUUGGUGGGGUAAGGCUCACCAAGCCAACGAUCUGUAGCUGGUCUGAGAGGACGACCAGCCACACUGGAACUGAGACACGGUCCAGACUCCUACGGGAGGCAGCAGUGGGGAAUUUUGGACAAUGGACGCAAGUCUGAUCCAGCCAUUCCGCGUGCGGGACGAAGGCCUUCGGGUUGUAAACUGCUUUUGUACGGAACGAAAAAGCUCUUAUUAAUACUAGGAGUCCAUGACGGUACUGUAAGAAUAAGCACCGGCUAACUACGUGCCAGCAGCCGCGGUAAUACGUAGGGUGCAAGCGUUAAUCGGAAUUACUGGGCGUAAAGCGUGCGCAGGCGGUUAUAUAAGACAGAUGUGAAAUCCCCCGAGCUUAACUUGGGAACUGCAUUUUGUGACUGUAUAGCUAGAGUACGGCAGAGGGGGAUGGAAUUCCCGCGUGUAGCAGUGAUAUGCGUAGAUAUGCGGAGGAACACCGAUGGCGAAAGCAAUCCCCUGGGCCUGUACUGACGCUCAUGCACGAAAGCGUGGGGAGCAAACAGGAUUAGAUACCCUGGUAGUCCACGCCCUAAACGAUGUCAACUGGGUGUUGGGUCUUCACCUGACUCAGUAACGAAGCUAACGCGUGAAGUUGACCGCCUGGGGAGUACGCCGCAAGUUGAAACUCAAGGAAUUGACGGGGACCCGCACA
rnacentral:rRNA from 1 species